rnacentral:lncRNA from 1 species
CCCGAGGAAGCACAGAAGGAAUGAGAACUGAAGUACAGAGAGUCCAAGAGGAGGCGAAAAUAGGACCCUGGAGAUAAACCAGGAGACAGAGAAAGAGGAACUUCUGAUGGUACAUGGCAGCUACCACAGUCAUUCUAAGCCAUGAAGGGCCACAGGAGGAGGGACUUUUAUCUGCACUGUUUCAACAGCAGGUAGCCAGCCGUCUUUUUACUGCCUGCCUCUGGCUGAAGCUCGGCCCACACUAUCAGGACUCAGCCCUGUAGGGAUGACUCUGCCACACAGCUACAGGACCAGCUGGCACAAAUGGCUUUCUCUCCAACUUCCUCAGGCUUCCCUGAGUCACUGCCCAGCCCUAGGACUGGCAACACCCUGGCCCUGCUCACCCAUCCACCCUUGGCAAGAGGGAAAGAGGAAGAAGCCUGCAGAGAGCUGGUGCCCUGCUUCCAGAUGCUGCUCCAUUCUCAGGCCAAGCCUCAAGAUGGGGGGAACCUGAGUGGGAGCCUCUCUCCUGGCUUGCGUUCCCUCCCACUUCUGGGAAAGCAGGGCAGUGACAGUCCCUGUUCUCAUGUGUCUGCCCUUGGCUGGGCUCCCCUCACCUCCCCAAAGACCAGGCAGGGUCCCAUUCAGCAGACCUGACUGUAAGGAAUUGGCAAGAAAUGACGUCCCUAGCCAGCCUGGCCUCCCCUUUGGUAUUUUUGCAGCUGGAGAUUAUUAGUCUCAAGCAAAACUCCUUUGUUAUCCAAGCCCACUCCACCACAUUAUUUUCCUCUCUCCUAAAG